rnacentral:rRNA from 1 species
GACGAACCGUGCGAACGUUGUUCGGAAUCACUGGGCUUAAAGGGCGCGUAGGCGGCUCCGCAAGUCAGGGGUGAAAUCUUUCGACUUAACCGGAAAAGUGCCUCUGAUACUGCGGAGCUCGAGGGAGGUAGGGGCGGACGGAACUUCCGGUGGAGCGGUGAAAUGCGUUGAUAUCGGAAGGAACGCUGGUGGCGAAAGCGAUCCGCUGGCCCUCUACUGACGCUGAGGCGCGAAAGCCAGGGGAGCAAACGGG